GGGGCUGGGGCUGGGACGGGGCCCUUUUCGUGGAAGAGGAUCGAAGCCGCCCUGUUGGAUGCACCAGUCCUUGGCACAGCGUGUGACACACAGUGAGUGCAUAGCCAUGAGGUGGAAGCUGUGAGAGCCCAGGAGACCUCAGAUGCCACCCAGCACAGAGCCUGGCCCGAGGGAUAAAACACCGUGUGGCAGCCGGGACAGUGACUGGAGGGACCAUCAAUGUCACAAACACAGCUGGGGACCCCAGGGCCCUGGCGUGGGCUCCCCCGUGACAGCCUCAGAGGUGAGUGACCUCAUUCCCCCAUGGCCAUCCAGCUGCAGGGUGCCGCCCAGUGCAGGUGGCUUUGGGGA
rnacentral:lncRNA from 1 species